rnacentral:rRNA from 1 species
UACGUAGGGCGCAAGCGUUGUCCGGAAUUAUUGGGCGUAAAGGGCUCGUAGGCGGUUUGUCGCGUCGGGAGUGAAAACUCAGGGCUUAACCCUGAGCCUGCUUCCGAUACGGGCAGACUAGAGGUAUGCAGGGGAGAACGGAAUUCCUGGUGUAGCGGUGAAAUGCGCAGUUAUCAGGAGGAACACCGGUGGCGAAGGCGGUUCUCUGGGCAUUACCUGACGCUGAGGAGCGAAAGUGUGGGGAGCGAACAGG